GUUCAAUCAUUCAUUGGCCAUGAG
rnacentral:siRNA from 1 species